rnacentral:lncRNA from 1 species
UUGGUACAACCUGGAUUAUGUAAGUCUUCAUGCUUCCUUUAGGAAAUGAAGGGAUCGUUUCUUGGUACCGCCAGCUGCUGCUUCCAUACGUGUGUGUCUUUGUAAGUAUGUAUGUUUAAGUCUCUGGAGUGACAUAGACAAUGAGCAUGUCUUUGUGAACGGACAUCUUUACUGCUGAAAAUAAUACAACUUCCAGCUGUGCUGCUUUCCUUUCUUCCAAAGUAUGCAAAAAUGCAGUGGGGGAGGGAAGGCAGAAUUGUUUGUUGUCUGAAUGUCUGCAGUGUGUUCCAGGAGAUGUAUUGCUCUGCUUCCAGCGCAGAAUUGAAGGGAGGGUGGGACGAGAAACAAAGCUAUUAAUUCUUUCUCGUUAUUUCUGAACUGUUGAGAGCCUUCAGUUUUUGAGCAUUAUCUGAUCGAUUAUCUGAUCCUUUUGGACUGACGGAAGAAAAGUAUAUCAAAGAAGCAGAGCUUUUCUAACAGUCCAACUCGGGAUAUUCUAUCAUUGCAUAUUGUAGUCUACCCGGCAGUAGGUAGUUCUGAUGAAUGCACUCCAAAUGUCAUACACAGUUGCAACGUUCUGCAGGGAAAAAAAUGUUAUGUAGGAGUGAAUCAUAGCAAAUUAUAAUGACAGAAUGCUGACAUUUACAGCUGACCUCACUGUUUUGAAUCAGAGGAAACUGUUUCCAAUGACAGCUUUGAACAGCAAUGUUUUCAAAACUCUUGAAAGCUGAGUGGAAUUGUUUUUGUUUGGAAAAUCUAUCGCAUUUGUGCAAAGAUUGUAUGGCCUCCAACCACUUGAUCCAGAACUGCAGUGAGUUUUCUGAAGCAGAUGAAGUGCCAAUGAAUUGAUGAGUGCACAACUACAGGACUUUCUGCCACCCCUCUCUCUCAGCAGGUCCGUGGUCUAGGAGGACUUUAGAAAUUUCUACCUGAAUUACUUGAUGACUUUUGUCAGCAUUUGAGGCUUACAGUGUUGUGUAUAUACGUGUAUAAUGACUGUUUAUGUCAGUCUAAAACGGCUAACCAGAUGUGCACAUUUCACAGUGUCCGCUGAAACCAGCAGGAUGGCUGCAGCUGGGCCUUUCUUCACCUGAGAGCCUGAGUCUGAAUGUGCCACACUUCCCCAUUUUCUGGCUUUGUUGGAAUACACUGCGAUGCAUUCAGCUUUUUCAUUAUACGUGUGUAGAAGCCCUGGAUGUCAGACAAUACGAGGCCUUUUAGCAGCAUUUCAGACUUUUUGCUUUCCUUUCGAGUCAACAGAAACUCAGCUGCCUGAAGGUGGGUGAGGCCAAACAGCAGCACAAACCUUCCUCUGGAGGAAGGGACCCGAUCCCACUAACCUGCUCCACUGAGGUGCUGUGCAGCUUCAAUGCCAAGACACUGAUUUGAUAACUGUGGUUUCUUCUUACUGACCUGGCUGGGAAAAGCUGCCUUGUUGCUCAACAGCACUUUGUCUUCAUGAUUUAUAUGUUGCUUGACACAGCUAAGCAUGAUGCUGCAGUGUGAGAACUGCUUGCUGGCCGGCCGGCUGCAUGAGCUUCUCCACAGAAAGGUCUGUGCUGCGAACUGCUUUACUACCAACUGGGGCUUCUGCAAGAAAAGAAUGCAUCAGAAACACAAGAAUGUGUACGUUUGUUGUCAUGUUCCAUUCAAAAUAUGUAAAAGGAAAAAAAACUGUAAUUAACGUUGCAUUUAAGCCUGCUUGACUGUACUAAGCAUGACCUACAAGCCCAAGGAAUGCUACUGAGAUUUCCCUGAAAAAUGUUGAAACCGUUUAUUUGCCUGCUGAAUGGACUGAUUUUGAGAUAUGAGCAUGCUUUCCAUCGAAGAACAUCCUGAAAUUAAUUUCAGUUAAUGCCAUUUAUAUUACUCACUCUUCCCUGUUGAACUGGGCGUCCUGGAUUUCAACAUAUGCUGCUGUGCUGUGUAUUCCAGCUGUGACUGCAGCAGUGCUAAAUGUGUCUGCUUGAUGGAGAGCAUUAGCAGAACUCGGAUGUAGUCCAUCUAUUAGAUGGUUCUCCAGGAGGUGACAUUUCUGCACAGCUCAUCAGUGACAUCCCCUAUUCCCUCUCUUGGCCACAUUUGCAAGCUUCCAAACGUGUUUGUGAAUGUGACCAAAUUCUGGCCCUCGAGAUCAAAGGUCUGUCCACAUCUCUCUCUGGCACUACAGAUCUGGGAUGCUGCAAGCCAGUAUUCAAGAAUCCUGUCAAACUUGAGCAUAUCUGUGAUUUAUAAUGUAGAAAACCAUGUAGACUCUCAUCAUACACUUAGUACUCAACAGUCUACAGAAGCAGAACCUACCAAGAAAGCAAAUGUCAAAAAAGCAGCGUGAGCAAAGUUAAGAAUCUUCCACGUAAGGGGAUAUGUUUCUGGCUUGGAGCCAACCGGGGAGAAGAAGAAAUUCCUAAAUAUAGGAGCCCGGAAGGUGUGAAAGAACUGUUGGAUGCUGAAGUAUGUCAGGGACAAGAUUGGUGAUGAGUAAGAGCUUCCGCUGCUGGAAGCGGAGCGUGCUGGCAGGUAGCAGACUCCGUGAUCUUCUGAACAAGGAACAAAUCCUUGCUGAUCCUCCCCUAGUUGUGACAGUAAGUAUAAAUAUAUGAAAUCACCGAAAGAGGGAGUGAUGCUUGAGCACUCGUUUAAGAGUUCUGGCAACCUGACAGCAGUAAGCUCCACUUCCAAGUGAUGUAGAAGCAAUUUUCACUCUUGUGAAAACUCCCAUUUCUGAAAGUAGAUUGCCAAAAUAACUGAUGUUGAUCAUAUGGGACUGUGUGUCAUGCAUCGCAUAUAUCCGCUUAUUUGCUCUUUUUUGAUUUUGGUUUUGUUUAUCCAAAAAUAAUGGUAUCCUAUUGACAAAGGAUUCUUAUUUUUUUGUCAUAAGCACACAGCAAUACAGUGUUUUUUUCACACAGUACAGAGCCAUCCAUGUGUUUCUGUGUCAAGAAAUGCAGCGAUAACUUCUGCUCUGUCUGCUUACAGGAAUAGCUACUGCUUGAUGCCAGUCUGUAUUAUCUGCACUUCCCUCUGUCACUGAGAUGGGCUGGCUCAGCAGAACAAGUAUGAGCACAUAAGAGUGACAUUUUGUGUUUCUGAGGUAGUAAUAUCUUAAUUACUCUUAAAUCGUGAGCUUUUUGAGCAUUUUAUAUAUUGCAUAUACAUAUACAUUACCUAUUAUAUAUAAUAGAAGGGAAAGAUGAUUACAAGCACAAGAGAAGACACAUCACCUAAGAGUGCUGUAAGAAAAGAUCAGUGUGGAGGUAGAAACUCCUGUGAAGCUUACAGCAGGAAAGACCUGCCAUGGCCAAAUGCACAAGUUUGUUUCCCCUUAACAACUGUCAAUGGUUUUAAGAUUUUGAGAUGUAAUCAGUUACAGAGAUAACAAUCUCAAGGUAAAACAGAUACAGCUGCUGCCGUGGAACUAUCCUUUCAUUUCUUCCCCGUAUUCAGAGCAUUUUCAACAUUAAUUUUCACAUACACUUUAUGUCACAUAAUUUCUCUCUCAACAUUUAUUUAUUUGUACGUGAUUUUUAUGCUUACAGCUUACAAGCUAUCUGCCACAAAAGCUUUAAGAAUGCAGAAUGGAUUUCUCUACGGUCAUGAUCCGAAGGGAAUUUUAUCAGGGAGUUUCUGGGUUUGUUAUGGAGCAAAAGGUAAACAAAGGCACCUACAAGCUGGGAAGAUGGGCUUAGAUUUACCUGGGGCAGAUGGAUGCUGUCCUUACCAUGAACCCACGGCUCUUCUCUCCACCUGCAGAAUGUAUUUGUUCUUCUGUUGUACUGCACUUCUGCACUGAGAAUGAAGAGACUCAGUCCUGCUAAUAGACUGAGAAAAGAGAUUAAGCAUACAAGCUAAGGAUUCUGCAUAUUGAAAUACAGUAAAUCUGAAAAAUACUGGAAGACAUUGGUGGUUUGCUGGAGGUCACCUGGACAGGUACCUGGCAAGGCUAUCUCCCUGUGCCUCAGCUGCUUCACCUGCAAAGUGGGGAUAAUGACAUUCAGUCGCUUUUUAAAACCAUUUUAAGAUGCUCCACUUCCGUGUUCUGUAUCAAAGGGAAAUACUUCACUUUCAUAUACACUUUUGCGUAACUGAUGACAAAGUCCUUACAUUCUCUGCUUUAAGGUAGCUUAACCUUAAUUCAGUGUACUAAGGCUGGAAUGGGUAUAAACAACAAACACAGUAAGAGCAAAGACUGUUUUAGAAAUGGGAAUAUCAUCAUUCUUUUCCUCGUUUCUUUCAAUCAUAAUAAGAAUCUGCCUAAAACAGGCAGACCGCUUAAAUCCUAUCAAAUCUUCACAGAUUUUAUCUCUAGAUGAGAUUGGCUGACAAUUAAAAAGUACGCACUCAAAUGAUUUGAGGAAAAUCUUUCUAAAGCCAUGGACAGUUUCACUCCUCAGAUGCUUUAAAAAAAAAACAAAAGCAAAACUUAAUUUAAAAACAAAGAACGAGAGAAUACGGAUAUUAGUUUUGGCCUCAGAAAAUCCUUUAAUCCAUCAGACUUCUGCAUAACACUGUAAGUAUGCAAGUAAUCAGAUGAUUGUUUUCAUCCCUGGCCAAAUACUGCAAUCACAGCGAUGUGCAUGUAAGAACUGCUAUAUUUUUAGAGUAAUUACUUAUAGAGAGGUAGCAGUACCUUUAAUGUAACGUGUCAUUUUCAUUCUUAGAUGAAAACGGGGAGGAUGGGACAGUCAGGUUUCAAACGAAAAUAAAGUUUAGUAGAUAAUAUUCAAUUUUUAAGCACAACAGUAAUUUUUUCAGAGACCUCUGAAAGCAUUUGAUGAGGUUUUGUUGAAUGUUGUUUCACCUCAGACUGCUGUUUCUCCUUCACCGGCUUCAGGAGCUGGAAUGAAAAAGAACAUCAUUAUUGCGUUUGCUCUCAAUGCCAUAUUAAAUCUCAAUCCUCUCGUCCCCCAGUCUGCAUGUACAGCCAGGAUGGCCCCAGCCCAGGUACAGAAUGCAGCGCUUGCUCUUGUUAAACUUCAUGUGGUUGAUUAUUGCCAGCCCUUCAAUUUGUUGAGAUCUCUGUGCAAGGCAGAUAUCCAAUACCCUACAGUGGUACAGCCAAUUGAGUAUCACAAAGAAAAUCAUAUGAAAGAGACAGUAAUCAAGACCGAAAUAAAUGCAUAUGCAUCUCUGCUCUGUAUUUCAAAUAUGUUUUGAAAACACGCUACAUUAAGAAACCCAAACACAUUUCAAUUCAAGUAAUGUUGCUUUUACAACCAUCGAGAGAAAAUGAGAUGUGGUAGAACUCUGCCACUUCCCAAGCAGCACAAUCACACAGCCUUAGUCUUUUUCUGGCUUCAGUAGUGCUUUCCAUUUCUAUUGAUCUCUGUGAAAUGUGGUCUCUACAAACGGAAAAGGCGCAUUUCCCAGACCAGUGGUGCUGCAGAGUAGCUGGGAUCUAUUAAAUGAAUGGGAAUAUUAAAAUGGAAUGGAAGAAAAGGACCAUCCUUACAAGUGCACAAUAGAUGGUUUAACCAUCAUAAUUAAGUAAAAUGUGAAGUCCAGUCAUAACACACUACAGACGUGAGAAAUGAGAGCUAUCAAGGAGAGUUUCUGUUCUCUGAAAACAACUCCUUGAUAUGUGAAGGAAAGGAUGGAAGGAGGAGCACAGAUGGCACAUUCUUAGCAAAACCCUUUCUCAAGAACAUCCCUACUGAUGUAGCUAGUAACAGUUAAACUGGUUUAUACCCGAAGAAUACAGAGCUGUUCAAUCAUUUGGAUCAGCUUAGUACACUCGACCUUAUGAAUCCUACUUACACCACAAUUGCCUAAAAUUGAAGAAAACAUCUCCUCAGAGGCAAAAAGUGGAAAGAUCUAAGUUUUCUUAGUGCCAUGCAAUGGGUAUGGCAGUCACAAAGGAACUGACACGUGGCAUGGUACAAAAUGAUACACGAUCUUUAAAGAGUAUUUUAUAAAGGCUGUUCUUGGGAGGGAAGAUGCCACUUCUAAGUUGAACAUGAGAAGCCAUUACUGACGAAUGUGGCAUUUGCACCAUGAUAGUUCAGAACAAUGGGAAAUCUGUCACUUGGAAUGUUUGCACAAUUCUAUGCACUAAUACUGCUUUGAAAGGUUUGGCAACAGUGACAGGCAAAAAAAGAAGGAAAGUUAAUGUAAACCUAUCAACAGAAGGAUUUGUUACUUCAAAUUAACAACUGGAUGAAGCUCUGACCGUAACAUUAUAUUGGGAACAAUUUCUCUUUUUGAAGUGCAAUGAAGUACGAAUUAUCAGUAUCUUUCUACCUAUCCCAGCAGCUCACCUGCUGCAGAAAGAGUUGGUUGUUGGCAAUCCUCAUCAAGCAUAACUAACAAAGUCAAUUGACACAACAAGUUCUACGGCUGGCAUUAUUUGGAGAAUGUUUUGUUGGCCCCUAGUGCCUGAGGAUGUAUGAAGGCAUACUCUUUUUGAGCACAUGUAGACUCACAGUCCCUUCAUGCUGGUGUUCACCUACAGACCUAUGACAUUGGCACCUAACCCCAACAGGGAUACGCCGUUCAGCUGACAAAGAAGCUACUCAUGGACUCUAAGCCUCAGCUUUACCUGUUAGACAUCAUUAGAUAUAUAACCACGUGAUACCGACUUUUCCCCUCCUGUUUAAUGCAUAGGAAAGCACAGCACAUAUGCACUGGAUUUCAUGAACAAAGGCUGUUUGUGCAUUCUAUACCCUGACAUGCAGCAAGGCUGUCAUCCCAUCACCAAGACACUCCUGUGUCCCCCACACUUGGACUAUUGGUAGAGAGUGGCGAGGUGGCUGCAGGACACCAGGAUCGCUCACGUGGCUUGUAGGUUGUCACCUGUCCAUAUCUGAGAAGCAAGGAGCAAGCCACGAACUUCCAUCUUCAUCAUCUCUUAGGGGCAGAACAUGCAUCUGUGUACUGGAGGAAUAAAUAUGGAAAAAGCUUUGUAAGUGAUAUUUAUCACGGUCCUGGACUUGUAUUAUUAUUGUUUUUUAAUCUAAAAGCACUGCCCUUUUGCUAAUGUGCCAAAUGAGCUGCUGACCAGCAAGCCGUGCGUUGCCUUAAGCAAACCAACACAUAACACGUGCAGAACUUUACAGCUGCGUCUGGUUGGUAAACUGUGAUGAUAAAAGAAGCAGGUUGGAGAUUAGGAAAAAGAUAUUUUCAGAAGGAAUGGUGAUGCCCUGCAAUGGGCUGCCCAGGGAGGCGGUGGGAUCACCGGCCCUGGACGCGUUCAGGACAUGUGGAUGUGGCACUGAGGGACACGGUCAGUGGGGACGGGUUGGUGGCUGGACUAGAGGAUCUCGGUGUCUUCUCCAACCCUAAUGAUCCUGUGAUUCCGUACAGCACGAUGUGGAUGUCUGCAGUGCCAGGAGCUGCGAUUUCUCUGGUAACAUAUUCCACCCGCCCCUGCACUUUCCAUACACAAACAGAUACCCUCCAAACUAGGAGCACAGCUUGAGCCCCACUAGCAGGCCUGGCACAGACCG